AGUGAACGCUGGCGGUAGGCCUAACACAUGCAAGUCGAACGGCAGCACAGUAAGAGCUUGCUCUUACGGGUGGCGAGUGGCGGACGGGUGAGGAAUACAUCGGAAUCUACUUUUUCGUGGGGGAUAACGUAGGGAAACUUACGCUAAUACCUCAUACGACCUACGGGUGAAAGCAGGGGAUCUUCGGACCUUGCGCGAUUGAAUGAGCCGAUGUCGGAUUAGCUAGUUGGCGGGGUAAAGGCCCACCAAGGCGACGAUCCGUAGCUGGUCUGAGAGGAUGAACAGACACACGGGAACUGAGACACGGUCCAGACUCCUACGGGAGGCAGCAGUGGGGAAUAUUGGACAAUGGGCGCAAGCCUGAUCCAGCCAUACCGCGUGGGUGAAGAAGGCCUUCGGGUUGUAAAGCCCUUUUGUUGGGAAAGAAAAGCAGCAGGUUAAUACCCCGCUGUUCUGACGGUACCCAAAGAAUAAGCACCGGCUAACUUCGUG
rnacentral:rRNA from 1 species